rnacentral:tRNA from 3 species
UGGGGUGUCGCCAAGCGGUAAGGCCUCGGUUUUUGGUACCGAUAUUCGGGGGUUCGAAUCCCUCCACCCCAUCCA